rnacentral:rRNA from 1 species
UACCGUUUGGAGAUGAGCUCGCGUACCAUUAGCUAGUUGGUGAGGUAAAGGCUCACCAAGGCGACGAUGGUUAGCUGGUCUGAGAGGAUGAUCAGCCACACCGGAACUGGAACACGGUCCGGACUCCUACGGGAGGCAGCAGUGAGGAAUUUUGCGCAAUGGGGGAAACCCUGACGGAGCAACGCCGCGUGCCGGAUGACGGCCUUCGGGUUGUAAACGGCUUUUGGGUGGGACGAUGAUGACGGUACCAUCCGAAUAAGCCCCGGCUAACUCCGUGCCAGCAGCCGCGGUAAGACGGAGGGGGCAAGCGUUGUCCGGACUCACUGGGCGUAAAGGGUGCGCAGGCGGUGCCCGUGCGUCGGCGCUGAAAGCGCCCGGCUUAACCGGGCGAGGUGCGGCGAUACGACGGCACUGGAGGCAGGUAGAGGUUGGCGGAAUUCCGGGUGUAGUGGUGAAAUGCGUAGAGAUCCGGAGGAACGUCGGUGGCGUAAGCGGCCAACUGGGCCUGACCUGACGCUGA